rnacentral:rRNA from 1 species
AGCGGAGGAAAAGAAACCAACAGGGAUUGCCUCAGUAACGGCGAGUGAAGCGGCAAGAGCUCAACUUUGGAAUCGCUCCGGCGAGUUGUAGUCUGGAGGUGGCCACCACGAGGUGUUCUAGCAGCAGGCAAGUCCUUUGGAACAAGGCGCCAGCGAGGGUGACAGCCCCGUACCUGCUUUUGCUAGUGCUUCCUGUGGCCCACCGACGAGUCGAGUUGUUUGGGAAUGCAGCUCUAAGUGGGUGGUAAAUUCCAUCUAAGGCUAAAUAUUGGCGAGAGACCGAUAGCGAACAAGUACAGUGAUGGAAAGAUGAAAAGCACUUUGAAAAGAGAGUGAAACAGUACGUGAAAUUGUUGAAAGGGAAGGGCUUGCACCCAGACACGGUUUCGGCCGGGCCAGCAUCAAGUAGAACGGGGUUAAAAGACCUGGGGAAUGUAGCUACCUCUUGGUAGUGUUAUAGCCCUUGGGUGAUGACCCCUGUUUUGCUUGAGGACAGCGGUCUCUAGGAUGCUGGCGCAAUGGUUGCAAGCCACCCGUCUUGAA